UACGAAGGGGGCUAGCGUUGCUCGGAAUCACUGGGCGUAAAGGGUGCGUAGGCGGGUCUUUAAGUCAGGGGUGAAAUCCUGGAGCUCAACUCCAGAACUGCCUUCGAUACUGGGAGUCUCGAGUCCGGAAGAGGAGAAUGGAAUUCCCGGUGUAGCGGUGAAAUGCGCAGAUAUCGGGAAGAACACCCGUGGCGAAGGCGGUUCUCUGGGACGGUACUGACGCUGAGACGCGAAAGCGUGGGGAGCGAACAGG
rnacentral:rRNA from 1 species